rnacentral:rRNA from 1 species
AGGUUACUGCUAUCGAGGUUCGACUAAGCCAUGCGAGUCGAAUGUAGCAAUACAUGGCGUACUGCUCAGUAACACGUGGACAACCUACCCUUAGGUCGGGGAUAAACCCGGGAAACUGGGUAUAAUACCCGAUAGAUCUCGACUGCUGGAAUGCAUCGAGAUCCAAAGCUCCGGCGCCUAAGGAUGGGUCUGCGGCCUAUCAGGUAGUAGUGGGUGUAGCGUACCUACUAGCCUACGACGGGUACGGGUUGUGAGAGCAAGAGCCCGGAGAUGGAUUCUGAGACACGAAUCCAGGCCCUACGGGGUGCAGCAGGCGCGAAAACUUUACAAUGCUGGAAACAGCGAUAAGGGGACCUCGAGUGCCAGGUUACAAAUCUGGCUGUCGUGAUGCCUAAAAAGCAUUGCAUAGCAAGGGCCGGGCAAGACCGGUGCCAGCCGCCGCGGUAACACCGGCGGCUCGAGUGGUAACCGUUAUUAUUGGGUCUAAAGGGUCUGUAGCCGGCCGGAUAAGUCUCUUGGGAAAUCCAGCAGCUCAACUGUUGGGCUUUCAGGAGAUACUGUCUGGCUCGAGGCCGGGAGAGGUGAGAGGUACUUCAGGGGUAGGGGUGAAAUCUUGUAAUCCUCGAAGGACCACCAGUGGCGAAAGCGUCUCACCAGAACGGACCUGACGGCAAGGGACGAAAGCUAGGGGCACGAACCGGAUUAGAUACCCGGGUAGUCCUAGCCGUAACGAUACUCGCUAGGUGUCGGCCACGGUGCGACCGUUGU